UACGAAGGGGGCUAGCGUUGCUCGGAAUUACUGGGCGUAAAGGGCGCGUAGGCGGGCAGUUAAGUCAGAGGUGAAAGCCCAGGGCUCAACCCUGGAAUAGCCUUUGAUACUGGCUGUCUUGAGUGCGGGAGAGGUGUGUGGAACUCCGAGUGUAGAGGUGAAAUUCGUAGAUAUUCGGAAGAACACCAGUGGCGAAGGCGACACACUGGCCCGUAACUGACGCUGAGGCGCGAAAGCGUGGGGAGCAAACAGG
rnacentral:rRNA from 1 species